GAUGAAGAACGUAGCGAAAUGCGAUAAGUAAUGCGAAUUGCAGAAUUCCAGUGAGUCAUCGAAUCUUUGAACGCACAUUGCGCCCUUUGGUAUUCCGAAGGGCAUGCCUGUUCGAGCGUCAUUAUCACCCCUCAAGCCCUCGGCUUGGUGUUGGACGGUUUGGUGGAGGCCCCCUCGGGGGUUCCUGUCCCUCCCAAAGACAAUGACGGCGGCCUCGUUGGACCCCCGGUACACUGAGUUCUUCACGGGACACGUAUCGGACACAUGGGUUUACGGGACACGGUCUGCCUCCCCUCAGGGAGAAUCUUUCUAAGGUUGACCUCGGAUCAGGUAGGGAUACCCGCUGAACUUAAGCAUAUCAAUAAGCGGAGGA
rnacentral:misc_RNA from 1 species